rnacentral:rRNA from 1 species
GCGUGGGGUGUGAUAGGGCAUGCAGUCGAGCGCGAAAGUCCGCAAGGACGAGUAAAGCGGCGAAAGGGUGAGUAAUACGUAACCAAUCUACCCCUGAGACCGGAAUAACUGGCGGAAACGCUGGCUAAUGCCGGAUGGCCCCCCCGGGAGGCAUCUCCUGGGCGGUAAACGGUGGCGCAAGCUGCUGCUCGGGGAGGGGGUUAUGGGCUAUCAGCUAGUUGGUGAGGUAACGGCCCACCAAGGCUAUGACGGCUAGCCGGUCUGAGAGGAUGGUCGGCCACAUUGGGACUGAGACACUGCCCAAACUCCUACGGGAGGCUGCAGUCGAGGAUCUUCCGCAAUGGGCGAAAGCCUGACGGAGCGACACCGCGUACAGGAUGAAGGCCUUCGGGUUGUAAACUGUUGUCACGCUAUAGGAAUGCCAUGGCGCUCAUACCGCCAUGAUUGACCAAAGCGAGAGGAAGCAUCGGCUAACUCUGUGCCAGCAGCCGCGGUAAGACAGAGGAUGCAAACGUUGUUCGGAAUCACUGGGCAUAAAGCGCACGUAGGCGGUCUGUUAAGUCAGGUGUGAAAGCCCCCGGCUCAACCGGGGAACUGCAUUUGAUACUGGCAGGCUAGAGAACGGUAGGGGUGAGUGGAACUCCAGGUGGAGCGGUGAAAUGCGUAGAUAUCUGGAGGAACACCGGUGGCGAAAGCGGCUCACUGGACCGUCACUGACGCUGAGGUGCGAAAGCUAGGGUAGCAAACGGGAUUAGAUACCCCGGUAGUCCUAGCCGUAAACGAUGGGUACUGGGUAGGGGGGAUGCCUAUGGUCCUCUCUGCCGGAGCUAAUGUGUUAAGUACCCCGCCUGGGGAGUACGCUCGCAAGGGUAAAACUCAAAGGAAUUGACGG